AUUGAACGCUGGCGGCAGGCCUAACACAUGCAAGUCGAACGGUAACAGGAAACAGCUUGCUGUUUCGCUGACGAGUGGCGGAUGGGUGAGUAAUGUCUGGGAAACUGCCUGAUGGAGGGGGAUAACUACUGGAAACGGUAGCUAAUACCGCAUAACGUCGCAAGACAAAAGAGGGGGACCUUCGGGCCUCUUGCCAUCGGAUGUGCCCAGAUGGGAUUAGCUAGUAGGUGGGGUAACGGCUCACCUAGGCGACGAUCCCUAGCUGGUCUGAGAGGAUGACCAGCCACACUGGAACUGAGACACGGUCCAGACUCCUACGGGAGGCAGCAGUGGGGAAUAUUGCACAGUGGGCGCAAGCCUGAUGCAACCAUGCCGCGUGUAUGAAGAAGGCCUUCGGGUUGUAAAGUACUUUCAGCGGGGAGGAAGGGAGUAAAGUUAAUACCUUUACUCAUUGACGUUACCCGCAGAAGAAGCACCGGCUAACUCCGUG
rnacentral:rRNA from 1 species